UACGUAGGGUGCGAGCGUUAAUCGGAAUUACUGGGCGUAAAGCGUGCGCAGGCGGUCUUGCAAGACAGAUGUGAAAUCCCCGGGCUCAACCUGGGAACUGCAUUUGUGACUGCAAGGCUGGAGUACGGUAGAGGGGGAUGGAAUUCCGCGUGUAGCAGUGAAAAGCGUAGAUAUGCGGAGGAACACCGAUGGCGAAGGCAAUCCCCUGGACCUGUAUUGACGCUCAUGCACGAAAGCGUGGGGAGCAAACAGG
rnacentral:rRNA from 1 species